rnacentral:rRNA from 1 species
UACGUAGGUGGCAAGCGUUGUCCGGAUUUAUUGGGCGUAAAGAGCUCGUAGGCGGCUUGUUGCGUCGACUGUGAAAACCCACGGCUCAACCGUGUGGUCUGCAGUCGAUACGGGCAGGCUAGAGUUCGGUAGGGGAGACUGGAAUUCCUGGUGUAGCGGUGAAAUGCGCAGAUAUCAGGAGGAACACCGGUGGCGAAGGCGGCAUUCUGGACCGAUAUUGACGCUGAGGAGCGAAAGCCAGGGGAGCAAACGGG